CCUUGGUAGAUCAAUUACUGGUAAUAGUAGUGUUCCGAGACCAAUCUAAUGACCUAUACGAGAGAAACUGUGAAGACAGGCAGUGCUUUAUUAAUACCGAAUUUACAGAAUUGAGGUUUUACAAAUCAAGGGGAGGACUGAAGAUUUUGGAAGUUCAAUGUGAAAUAUAAACAACAAACUUAUGAUUUUUACUUUUAAAUGAAAUAUUGAAUCUGCUGCUCCAAUACAACGAAAGAAUGGAAGAUAUGACAUUUAUUAAGGUAAUCGCCAAUAACAGAGAAUUCUACCUCUUCACCACAAUCAAAGAUGAGGGCUAUGAUUUGAUUAUAACAGAUUGUCAAGACUUUUGGAGUGGAUUCGUGUUGAAGAAUGACAGCAAUAAUCAAUGUUCAGAUUUCCAACCAUUAACCAGAAUAUCUUACCAGGACAGAAGUUUUAGCUAUGAAAUAGAUCAUGCUUCUAACGAAAAGAUUCUAUUCAGGUGGAAGGAGGAAAAUGCAGCCGAAGGUCUCAAAUUUGUUCUUGGUUCAGCAACACUUUCUAAAAUCAAUGACAUCAGGUGUAUGACACAGAGAAUUUUUGACCAUUGUAUAAAUAUGAUAUCAAAUAUAAACCAGGAAGUAACGUCAGUGAAGAAAGACAAAAAUAUGUUAUUGCAAGAGAAAGCUGAUACACUCAAGCGUUUAGAUAAACUUGUUGGUACCAAAGAGACAAUGGAACAGGAGCUGUAUUCCAAGUUCUUGGUUGUUCUAAAUUCCAAAAAGACUGAAAUUUCAACACUUCGUGAAAAAGUAAAAGAUUUAGAAUCCCAAGAUUUGAAGAGGUCUGAAGAGUGUGAAGAGGUCGAUUCAGACAUGGAAACCUCUCCUUCCAGCAGUAUAUAUGAACAAGAAACACAAAUUGAUACGAAACCAAAGCCAAUGUUCUCUGAUGAGUCAAGUGACGAAGAAAUCAGUUUGACAUCCAGACAAAACCUGGAGACACAUUUUAAAGAUAAAAAGAGGGCAAAGGUUUUAACUACAACGACAACAACGUCAUCAUCAGUAUCAUAUCCAUCAUCUACAGCCACAACGAAAAGAAAUUCAUUGCCUAGAAAACGGUCUCUCAAGAAACCUAAUCUGGAGAACGAUACGAUGUCACUCAGCGAAAUGAUUGAUAGUGACAAACUUCUUGACAACAUAUAACUAUUUUACUUCUCUCUCAAGAACCCCGAGCAGAUAACAUUUGAGUGCAGAGCUCAUUUCAAAGCGUCAUUUUAACAAUGAAAUUUAUUUUUAAAAGCUUUAAGUUAUCUGUUUCAAAAAAAAAAAUAUCCCACCUCAUCAUUUAAUUUUCCCCAUCAUCAAUGAAAUUCUAAAUUGAUGUUCUAAUACUUCUAAUACAAGUUAA
rnacentral:misc_RNA from 1 species